UUAUAGAGAGGCAGAAAUACCCCCUCUGCUUUUUCUCUAACAUUGGUGCAAUUCCCCAAUACCAAUAUACAGAAUACUUUUUUUUUUUUUUUUUUUUUUUUUUUUUACAGAAGUGAAAGAAAACCAACAGAACACCAGAAAACCAACAGAACAAAUCAUGGUCAAAUUUAAGCUAUUUAGAGAAAAGGUAAGAGUGCAGAAUUUUACUUUGCCACAAAUAGAGAUUUGGAGAAGAAUGCUGGGGGACCCAGAUGGGAUUCCAAAGGCUGCAUCUCUAGACGUGACCAUGUUCUGAUCAACUCAACAUGGAAGGACUCGUCCAGCUGGUGCAUGGUGGCAAAUCCUGAAAAUUCUACCUUCAAAAUACUCCAGAAUUCAACUCCUUCAACUCCAGAAUUCAAC
rnacentral:lncRNA from 1 species